UACGUAGGGUGCGAGCGUUAAUCGGAAUUACUGGGCGUAAAGCGUGCGCAGGCGGUUGCUGAGGUCCGUUGUGAAAGCCCCGGGCUUAACCUGGGAAUGGCAGUGGAAACUAGGCGACUUGAAUCUGGCAGAGGGGGGUGGAAUGCCACGUGUAGCAGUGAAAUGCGUAGAGAUGUGGCGGAACACCGAUGGCGAAGGCAGCCCCCUGGGUCGAGAUUGACGCUCAGGCACGAAAGCGUGGGGAGCAAACAGG
rnacentral:rRNA from 1 species